GAUGUGUAUAAGAGACAGGUGAGUCAUCGAAUCUUUGAACGCACAUUGCGCCCCUUGGUAUUCCGGGGGGCAUGCCUGUUCGAGCGUCAUUUCAACCCUCAGGCUCCGGCUUGGUCUUGGGCUCUGCCGGUUACGGCUUGCCUUAAAAUCAGUGGCGGUGGCAGUCGAGCUCUACGCGUAGUAGCUAUAUUUUCGCGAUUGAGUCUCGCUGUGCGCUGGCCAGCAACCCCUAAUUUUCUAUGGUUGACCUCGGAUCAGGUAGGGAUACCCGCUGAACUUAAGCAUAUCAAUAAGCGGAGG
rnacentral:misc_RNA from 1 species